rnacentral:rRNA from 1 species
AACGCUGCGGCAUGCUAAUAAUGCAAGUCCAACGCUUCUUUUCUACCGGGUGCUUGCACCCACCAGAGAAGAAGAGUGGCGGACGGGUGAGUAACACGUGGGUAACCUGCCCAUAAGUGGGGGAUAACAGCCGGAAACGGCUGCUAAUACCGCAUAAUUCCAGUGAUCUCCUGAUCGUUGGAUGAAAGGUGGCUUCGGCUACCGCUUAUGGAUGGACCCGCGGCGUAUUAGCUAGUUGGUGAGGUAAUGGCUCACCAGGGCAAUGAUACGUAGCCGACCUGAGAGGGUGAUCGGCCACACUGGGACUGAGACACGGCCCAGACUCCUACGGGAGGCAGCAGUAGGGAAUCUUCCGCAAUGGACGAAAGUCUGACGGAGCAAUGCCGCGUGAGUGAAGAAGGUUUUCGGAUCGUAAAACUCUGUUGUUAGAGAAGAACAAGGAUGAGAGUAACUGCUCAUCCCCUGACGGUAUCUAACCAGAAAGCCACGGCUAACUACGUGCCAGCAGCCGCGGUAAU